rnacentral:sRNA from 1 species
CCCUAGCCCUGAUAGAAAUGGUUACCCCGCAGCUUGGGUUGGAGAGUGGUGGGUUGGAGCGUAGGAGAGCGCUGGCGCGAGGAGUAGAAAUGGAUAGCAGGAAUUAGC